UCAGAUGGCUGUGGUGGAGCCCGGAGUACUGAGAGAUAAGUGUUCCCAAGCAGCAGAGUUCAUAAACAGUGACCAAGACCCACCGGCGUCUGGCUGCCCGUGUUUCUUGGGAGAUGGUAAAAGGUCAAGAGCCACAGCGAGGUAUUAUGGAGUUUGCUGCUGAAGCCAUGCUCCAUGCCUGGUUCUCCCUCCUGGUCUUCCCCUCGGUUCUCGGACUUCCUGAGUCACCUUGGCCAUGUGAGGACACAGCAAGAAAGGACUGUCUGCCGGGCGGUGGUGGCGCACGCCUUUAAUCUCAGCACUCGGGAGGCAGAGCCAGGCGGAUCUCUACACUGUCUCCUGUAGCCCAGGCUGGGCUUGAACUUGCUAUGUAGUCAAGGACAGCUUCAAACCCCUUCCUGAUCUUCCAGCCUGUAUCUCCCAGGUGCUCCACCAUGCCUGGCUAAUAACUCGUGUAUUCUGGAGUCGGGGUGUCACUGCCUUGCUCAGAUUGGCUACCGACUCACGCCCUUCCUGCUUCUGCCUAAUGCACUCCUGGGAUUCCAGGUAACUGUUCCCUGCCAUCACAAUAAAUUACAAGUUCAUGGGAAAUCUCAUAACGAAUUUUGAAUAAAGACUAAUUUAGUUAAUAGGAUUUUCACCAAUGCUAAUUUCACGCUGUAUUUGGUUUGGUUUGGUUUUGCUGUGAGAUAGGCUGCCCCGCUCUAUGUAGCAGAGGUAUGUACCGCUGCUCUAAGUUUAUGUGGUACUGGGGAUGAAACACAGGACUUUGUACAAGAUGGGCAAGGCCUCUCUCUACCAACUGAGCUACAGUCUCAGCCCUUACCUUCUUAAGUAUGGGAAAUGUACCAUGAUAAUAUAGAAUAC